rnacentral:rRNA from 1 species
UAUUCUAUGACUUAAACAAAUGCCGGAUAAUAAAAACUACAGUUUAAAAUUCAAAGAACUUGGCGGUGUCUUAUACAAUCAGGGGAACCUGUCCCUUAAUUCGAUAAUCCACGAUUGCUCUACCUUCUCUUGCUCUCAGCCUAUGUACGGCCGUCGCCAGUAAGCCUCAAAGAGAUAGCUUACAAUAAUAAAUCUAUAGACGUCAGGUCAAAGUGUAGCCAAUGAGAAGGAGGUGAUGGGUUACAUUUCAAAUCAAGACCCAAAACUUAGUAAAAACUAUGUAUAAAGAUGGACUUGAUAGUAAUUAUUGAUACUUAACAAUCAUGAAACGGAAUNUAAGACAUGCACACAUCGCCNGUCACUCUCGC